GCCAAAUCAACAAAUUAAAAGUUCUGCGGAGCCCAAUUGCAAAAAUCAGAAAACUCGUGGCGAUCAAAUUGAAAUAGCCAAAACUGCAGAGACUAAACUGUAAUUAACAGAAACUCUAGGGACAAUCUGUAAUUACCCAAAAAUUCCAGGCAUAAAAGUUAAUUUCUACCGGUCAAAGCUGACUGGCUGGUCAACGGUCAACAGGUCAAAAGUCAACGGUCAAAAGGCUGACUGGGCGCUGACGUGGCGCGUGGCUGAGUGAUCUCACUCGCCGAUUUUCAGGGGCGCGUGAGGGCGCUUCCGGACGUCGUUUCCGAAGCCGGUUUGUGCUGGCGUUCCGUAUCGACGAGGGAACAACUUGGUGCAAUCAAAAAUAUUUUGAGCACUUUCCCGGACACAGAAUUUCGACUUGGGCCUCCGAAUCGCCUCAAUCAGGCUCUGCUACCAAUUGUUGUGCUCAAAACUAAUUAUUGGAUCACACAACACACAAAAGACAAUAAAGAUUGACGUGGUUCGGCCAACAAGCCUAGGUCCACGAGAGAAACACCAAUCACUAUCAACGACAGGAUUACAACGGAGGAGACUCACAUCUCAACUCACACCUCUCUCACAACUCUCUCUCUGUCUGCCUCUCAAUCUAACUCACAGCAAUCUGCUCUCAGCCCACAACACAACGCGUAGAAAAUCUAAGCACCCUAACCAUGCCCUUUUAUAGAAAGGGAAGGAGGUGGUGACUCUGACCAGAAUACUAAUCAUAUCCCUAAUCUAUCUAGGAAAACAAAAAGAUAAGACUCCCAAGAGUUAUAGAUAACUCGAGGUUUCACAGUCACAUGGACACUCCAUAUGAAACUCCAAAUCAAGUUUUGCUUGGCUACUGACUUGGACUCAUCCAAGUGCUUGACUCUCCAGAUGGGCUGGACUCAACAUAUAUAUCAUUAAUUAUGUUUUAAUUUUUUGUAAAAUUAAAAAAUUGGAUUGAUUUGUUUGUAUAGAUUUUAUGAAAGCUAAUUAAUCAGGCAAAUAUGAUUGCAAGCAAUAAAAGUAAAUUAAGUACACAAAAAUCUUACGCGAAAAACCCAAGGGAGGGAAAAAAACUAUUGGACUAAACCUAACAUAACUAAAUUUAUACGCAUUAUAUGUUGAAUCCUCGAACUUGGGGAUUGAAUCCUCAACACCUCCAUAAUCCUCCAUGAAUUGAACUUAGAUCCAUCCCCUUUGAGUACCUCCAAAUGACUUCAACCUUGAUUUGGCCGAAUAACGGUAUUUUUUGAAUCAAAAAAAUGUAAUUGAGUAGAUAAUUCAUAAUUUGGUGGUCAUCCAAUAUUAGAGAUUUAUUUGAUAAAAUUUUCGUACUCGUGGAAAAACUUUAAUGUUUUCUAUAUACUUGAUAUUUUUAGCUAAGAGUGAAAAUUCUAAACUUAUCCUACAAAAUGAGACACUAACUUAAUGACACGACACGAUACGAUAUAGCACAAAAAGAAUAAAUGAGUCAGAUUAGCCUUAAAGGAAUUAAGAUACAAACUCAAGAUGACAUGAUACAAGUCGAUGCCCAACCUUACAUGGGAGUGCAUAUAUUUUGUCCUAUGCAGAUUUUAUUUUUGUGAGGGUCUUGCAAUAUUAGAUUGAUCUUUUUACACGUAAAUAAAAGGUUUUCUGAACACUUUCCAAAUAUAACUUUAAACAUAUUUCUCUCAUAAAAGAUGAGUCUCACAAUAAAAUUCACACACUGCGAGACUCAUCCCAUUGUAAAGGGAUAUGUCAAGUAAGUGCACAAGUCAUAACAUCAGUCUUAAAAAUAAUUUUAAAUUGAAAGAAAAUCAAAAAACUACCUAGCUAGAAAACAACACCAAACUAUAUGAUUAAGAGUUGAAGCUUUUUGUCAUAGCAUAUCAUGAAGUGUGAGUACCAAAUCUCCUCCCAGAAAAAAGUUGUGGCGGAUAGAGACCCUGAAAAUCUAAAUAUGCAAUCUCCAUCACUUGCUCCCCCUCUUCCUACUUCCCACCUUAUCCAUCUCUUUUAAUACAUAUCUAUCACCUUGGUUCUCUCUCUCUCUCUCACACACACACACACACACAUAUAUAUAUAUAUAUAUUAAUUUUCUAUAACUAAAUGUUAUAUUUGGAUCAAGAAUUUAGAAAGAAAUUUGUGGAGGAAAAAAAUAAAAGAAAAAUUAUUAUAAUGUAUUGCAAAGGACUUGUGAGACCUGAACUCGAAGAAAUGCUACAAACAAUACUUCUAGACACGUGCACAAACUCUAUAUUAUGACGUGUGUGGACCUUACACACCAAUAUAAGAAAAUUUGUAUAAAUAUGUCUACAAUUGAGUGCAGAGGCGGAGCCAAUCAAAGGCCACAAGGGGCACUUGCCCCCCCCUCAAUUUUUGCCUAAUACUACUAGUACCCCAUGUAAAUGAGGUUGUGUCAAUUCGUUCCCUAUAUAAUAAUUACACAGCUGCCCAUCCUAAAAUAAUUUAGAAUCUCUAAAUUUUAUCUUUUUUGUAA
rnacentral:lncRNA from 1 species